rnacentral:pre_miRNA from 14 species
ACUCCUGCUCGCACAAUGGCUUGUGUAUGUAGUUCUUCAUUUGACUGCUCUGUUUCCAUGGUGACAAAGCUGCCAGGUGAAGAGCUAUAGACAUGAGUUACUAACCUUGCACUCUUAU